ensembl:lncRNA
GGAAGCACAGUCCUAAAUGGGGGUUUGGGGGAAGGCAAACCCCCAGAACUCUACACCUACAGUACUAAUUAAAAGUCCUGAGCUUGCAGGAUCUGCCAUAUUCUUUUACCUCAUGUAUAUUCCCUCUCAGCCUUUCUAGACAACCACUGAUCUUUCAAGCUCCAUUCACUAAUGAAAAGUUACUAACAUCCUUUCUGCUGAUUAACAGUGAUACAGAUUUAGAUAGCAAUGUUUAAAGCCACCAGAUUGGGGUCCUUCAAAUCCUAUCUGUCCUACCCCCACAGUAAGAUUAAACAGGUAUAGUUUAUAUACACAUGUAUAUGUACUCUCUUGAGAGUCCCUUGGACAGCAAGAAGAUCAAACCAGUCAAUCUUAAAGGAAAUCAAUCCUGAAUACUCAUUAGAGGGACUGGUACUGAAGCUCCAAUACUCUGGCUACCUGAUGUGAAGAGUUGACUCACUGGAAAAGAGCCUGAUGCUGGGAAAGAUUGAAAGCAAAAGGAGAAGAGGACAGCAGAGGAUGAGAUGGUUGGAAAGCAUCACUGAUUCAGUGAACAUGAACUUGAGCAAACUCCAGGAGAUAAUGAGGGAUAGGGAGGCCUGGGGUGCUAUGGAGUCACAAAGAGUUGGACAUGACUUAACAACUGAACAACAACAUACACACAUACAUCACAAAGUAAACGUUAAAGUGUUUUGCAGUAAAUUAUUGCAUAUUAACUGGAGGAGAAAAUGGCAACCCACUCCAGUAUUCUUGCCUAGAAAAUUCCAUCUACAGCGGAGCCUGGCAGGCUAGAGUCCAUAGGGUCACAAAGAGUAACAGGCAUCAAUAAAUGCAACCAUCUUUUGCAUUUUUUUAAACUAAUGGAAAUUAUUCACCUAUUGGCCUAUAUAUGUUUUGUGCAUAGAACAUUAAGUCAUGAUGAAAUGCUAUUGGAUCAGGUUAGAAAAGCAAUUUUAGAUGACCUUCUGAUAAACAUCUCUUCAAUCUUCAAUCCUAUUUAACACUUGAACACCUAAACCUGCUCAAAAAUACUCUUGUCAUUUUUUCACAUCUUUUGGCUUUUCACUGGUUUGGGGCAGGAGCUGUAAAGCCAAGAAAUGGAAGAGAAAGGCACCAUCAUGUGAACAGAGACAAUUUUAAAUAUGUUACAAGUAUUUUGCUAAUAACUGUUUCCUUGGUGACUACUAACUUGAGGUUUAUGUUGAUAGUUCUGAUUACAAUUUUAGAGAUCAAAGAAAUUUUAGGAAAUGACAAAAAUUAAAAAGAAUAUUAACAGCAGGAGGGGGAGAGCAACAAAUAACAUACAAGGGAACUCCCAUAAAACUAUCAGUUGAUAUUUCAAUAGAAGAAACUGUAGGCCAGAAGGGAGUGGCAUGACAUAUUUAAAGUGGUCAAAGGGGGAAACCUACAACCUCUACCCAGAAAGAAUCUCAUUCAGAUUUGGAGAGAUCAGAAACCACAGACAAGCAAAAGCUAAAAUUUGAGCAUCAACAAACCAGUUUUACAACAAAUGUUAAGGAAUUAGAAACAAGAAAGUUAUGAAAUGAAAAUCUCUUCAUUAAAAGCAAAUAUACAGUAAAGGUAUGAAAUCAUCCGCAAACAAAACUACUAGGGAAGUUAAAAGACAAAAGUAGCAAAAUCAUCAAGAUCCACAGUAAGCAGUUAAGGGAUACACAAAACAAUUAGAUGAUACACAAAACAAUUAAAAUGAUUACUGUUUUCACUAUCAUAUUUUACAUCUAAUUGUUUUGUAUAUCCUUUAACUGCUUAUAUAGAUAGAUAGAUCCAGGUGGCACUAGUGGUAAAGAAUCCUGCCAAUGCAGGAGAAAUAGACAAUUUCAAUCCCUGGGUCAGGAAGAUCCCCUAGAGGAGGAAAUGGCAACCCACUCCAGUAUUCUUGCCAGGAGAAGCCCAUGGACAGAGGAGCCUGGCAGGCUACAGCCCAUGGGGUCACAGAGUUGGACAUGACUAAGCAUCUGAGCAUAUCUAGAUAUAUAUAGUCUAUAUACACACACAUAUAUAUUUAGACUGCUAUUUCAAAACCUCAUGGUAACCACAAACCAAAAAUCUACAACAGAUACAUACACACAAAAGAAAAAGCAAUUCAAACAACACAAGAUAAUCAUCAAAUCACAAGAGUAAAGAACAAAAGAAGGGGGAGGGGAAGAUCUACAAAAACAAGCCCCAAACAAUUAACAAAAUGGUAAUAUUAACAUCAGAUCAGAUCAGAUCAGUGGCUCAGUCGUGUCCGACUCUUUGCGACCCCAUGAAUCGCAGCACGCCAGGCCUCCCUGUCCAUCACCAACUCCCGGAGUUCACUGAGACUCACGUCCAUUGAGUCAGUGAUGCCAUCCAGCCAUCUCAUCCUCUGUAGUCCCCUUCUCCUCCUGCCCCCAAUCCCUCCCAGCAUCAGAGUCUUUUCCAAUAAGUCAACUCUUCACAUGAGGUGGCCAAAGUACUGGAGUUUCAGCUUGAGCAUUAACAUACUUAUCAGUAAUCAAAUGUAAAUGGACUACAUGCUCCAAUCAAAAGAGUGACUAGAUAAAAAGACCCAUAUAUAUAUGUACUUCCUACAAGAGAUCCACCUCAUAUCUAGAGACAUACUGACUGAAAGUGAAGGAAUGUAAAGGGCAUUCCAUGCAAAUGGAAAUCAAAAGAAAGCUGGAGUGGCAAUACUCAUUAUCAGGCACAACAGACUUCAAAAUUUAAAAACUGUUAAGAGAAAGAAGAACACUACAUAGUGAUCAAGGGAUAAAUCCAGGAAGAAGAUAUAAAUGUAUAUUCACCCAACAUAGGAGCAUCUAAAUAUAUACGGCAAAUACUAACAGCCAUAAAAGGAAAGUCGACAAUCACACAGUAGUAGUGGAGGACUUCAACACCACACUUAACAUCAAUGGACAGAUCAUUCAGACAGAAAAAUCAAGGUAACACAGACCUUAAAGGAAACAUUAGACCAGAUGAACUUAACUGAUACUUAUAGAGCAUUCCAUCUAAAAGCAGGAGAAUACACAUUCAAGUGCAUAUGGAACAUUGUCUAGGAUAGAUCACACGCUAGACCACAAAUCAGGUCCCAGUAUAUUUAAGAAAAUUAAGAUCAUAUCAAACUUCUUUUCUGACUACAACACUAUAAGACUGGAAAACGACUACAAGAAAAAAACUGCAAAAUAAACAAAUGGAGGGUAAACAAUAUGCUACUGAACAACCAAUGGAUUACUGAAGAAAUAAAAAAUACCUAGAGACAAAUGAAAAUAAUCCAAAGCCUGUGGAACACAGCAAAAUCUAAGAAGUGUAUAGUGAUAGAAGCAAACAUCAAGAAACCAGAAAAAUCUCAAACAACCUAACCUGACAUCUAGUAGAAGGAAAGAAAUCACAA